rnacentral:rRNA from 1 species
GAGUUUGAUCCUGGCUCAGAGUGAACGCUGGCGGCGUGCCUAAUACAUGCAAGUCGAACGAUGAAGCUUCUAGCUUGCUAGAAUGCUGAUUAGUGGCGCACGGGUGAGUAACGCAUAGGUCAUGUGCCUCUUAGUUUGGGAUAGCCAUUGGAAACGAUGAUUAAUACCAGAUACUCCCUACGGGGGAAAGAUUUAUCGCUAAGAGAUCAGCCUAUGUCCUAUCAGCUUGUUGGUAAGGUAAUGGCUUACCAAGGCUAUGACGGGUAUCCGGCCUGAGAGGGUGAACGGACACACUGGAACUGAGACACGGUCCAGACUCCUACGGGAGGCAGCAGUAGGGAAUAUUGCUCAAUGGGGGAAACCCUGAAGCAGCAACGCCGCGUGGAGGAUGAAGGUUUUAGGAUUGUAAACUCCUUUUGUUAGAGAAGAUAAUGACGGUAUCUAACGAAUAAGCACCGGCUAACUCCGUGCCAGCAGCCGCGGUAAUACGGAGGGUGCAAGCGUUACUCGGAAUCACUGGGCGUAAAGAGCGCGUAGGCGGGAUAGUCAGUCAGGUGUGAAAUCCUAUGGCUUAACCAUAGAACUGCAUUUGAAACUACUAUUCUAGAGUGUGGGAGAGGUAGGUGGAAUUCUUGGUGUAGGGGUAAAAUCCGUAGAGAUCAAGAGGAAUACUCAUUGCGAAGGCGACCUGCUGGAACAUUACUGACGCUGAUUGCGCGAAAGCGUGGGGAGCAAACAGGAUUAGAUACCCUGGUAGUCCACGCCCUAAACGAUGGAUGCUAGUUGUUGGAGGGCUUAGUCUCUCCAGUAAUGCAGCUAACGCAUUAAGCAUCCCGCCUGGGGAGUACGGUCGCAAGAUUAAAACUCAAAGGAAUAGACGGGGACCCGCACAAGCGGUGGAGCAUGUGGUUUAAUUCGAAGAUACACGAAGAACCUUACCUAGGCUUGACAUUGAGAGAAUCCGCUAGAAAUAGUGGAGUGUCUGGCUUGCUAGACCUUGAAAACAGGUGCUGCACGGCUGUCGUCAGCUCGUGUCGUGAGAUGUUGGGUUAAGUCCCGCAACGAGCGCAACCCCCUUUCUUAGUUGCUAACAGGUCAUGCUGAGAACUCUAAGGAUACUGCCUCCGUAAGGAGGAGGAAGGUGGGGACGACGUCAAGUCAUCAUGGCCCUUACGCCUAGGGCUACACACGUGCUACAAUGGGGUGCACAAAGAGAAGCAAUACUGCGAAGUGGAGCCAAUCUUCAAAACACCUCUCAGUUCGGAUUGUAGGCUGCAACUCGCCUGCAUGAAGCUGGAAUCGCUAGUAAUCGCAAAUCAGCCAUGUUGCGGUGAAUACGUUCCCGGGUCUUGUACUCACCGCCCGUCACACCAUGGGAGUUGUGUUUGCCUUAAGUCAGGAUGCUAAAUUGGCUACUGCCCACGGCACACACAGCGACUGGGGUGAAGUCGUAACAAGGUAACCGUAGGUGAACCUGCGGUUGGAUCACC